GGACGAACGCUGGCGGCGUGCCUAACACAUGCAAGUCGAGCGGGAACCGUCAGGAGGGGUAACCCUUCUGAGGGGAGAGCGGCGAACGGGUGAGUAACACGUGGGCAACCUGCCCCGGACACCGGGAUAACCCAGGGAAACCUGAGCUAAUACCGGAUACUCCGGCGCGAUCGCAUGGUCGUGCCGGGAAANCUCCGACGGUCCGGGAUGGGCCCGNGGCCUAUCAGCUUGUUGGUGGGGUAACGCCCACCAAGGCGACGACGGGUAGCUGGUCUGAGAGGACGGCCAGCCACACUGGGACUGAGACACGGCCCAGACUCCUACGGGAGGCAGCAGUGGGGGAUCUUGCGCUAAUGCGCGAAAGCGUGACGCAGCGA
rnacentral:rRNA from 1 species